CCUACGGGAGGCUGCAGUGGGGAAUAUUGGGCAAUGGGCGCAAGCCUGACCCAGCAACGCCGCGUGAAGGAAGAAGGCUUUCGGGUUGUAAACUUCUUUUGUCAGGGAAGAGCAGUAGACGGUACCUGACGAAUAAGCCACGGCUAACUACGUGCCAGCAGCCGCGGUAAUACGGAGGGGGCAAGCGUUGUCCGGAUUCACUGGGUGUAAAGGGUGUGUAGACGGGUUGACAAGUCAGAUGUGAAAUCCUGCGGCUUAACCGGAUAACUGCAUGUGAAACUGUUGAUCUUGAGUACUGGAGAGGCAGGCGGAAUUCGUGGUGUAGCGGUGAAAUGCGUAGAUAUUAGGAGGAACACCAGUGGCGAAGGCGGUCUGCUGGACAGCAACUGACGGUGAGGCGCGAAAGCGUGGGGAGCAAACAGGAUUAGAUACCCCAGUAGUC
rnacentral:rRNA from 1 species